AGUCGAACGGGGCUCAGAGAACAGAGGACUUGUCCAAAGUUUUCGAAAGCCUAGUGGCGGACGGGUGAGUAACACGUGAGCAACCUGCCUUGGACUGGGGAAUAACUGUGGGAAACCAUAGCUAAUACCGCAUAAAGUCACGAGAGGACAUCCUCUUGUGACCAAAGGAGCAAUCCGGUCUUAGAUGGGCUCGCGUCCGAUUAGAUAGUUGGUGGGGUAACGGCUCACCAAGUCUACGAUCGGUAGCCGGACUGAGAGGUUGAACGGCCACAUUGGGACUGAGACACGGCCCAGACUCCUACGGGAGGCAGCAGUGGGGAAUAUUGGGCAAUGGGCGAAAGCCUGACCCAGCAAUGCCGCGUGAAGGACGAAGGUCUUCGGAUUGUAAACUUCUUUGAUCAGGGACGAAUAAAUGACGGUACCUGAAGAACAAGCCACGGCUAACUACGUGCCAGCAGCCGCGGUAAUACGUAGGUGGCGAGCGUUAUCCGGAUUUACUGGGUGUAAAGGGCGUGUAGGCGGAUUCUCAAGUUGGAUGUGAAACCCCUUGGCUAAACUGAGGGCUUGCAUU
rnacentral:rRNA from 1 species